rnacentral:lncRNA from 1 species
CCCGUUUUUCUUUGUUUUGGUCUAGCAGCCGUCAAAGAAAAUUCACUCUCAAAACUGUUUUGGGGAUUUCUUCCGUUCGUAGUCAACUGGGUGGAUCACGUAGAGGUCGGAGUCUCGAUAGAUUGCGGCUUAGUUCGACUGUAGAUCAGACUACACGUUGUUGAGAAGUUGCUGUCUACUCAGAACAGCAUUAGGUAAUUUCGUAACCCUUUUCACCCCGAUUCGUUCCUCACACAUGGAUCUGUGGUUAGGG